CGGCUGUGCCCCUUAUUUUCUGUCACAGUUCGGAAAAUGGCGACAAGACACCGCCCGCUUCGGGCAGCGGUGACACUGGAAGCGGACACCGAGCGGAAUAACGGGCGUUGUUCUCUGCUGAUUUCUACUAUUCUUGGAGCAGCUUGAAGUGUGCUGGGUAAUGUGUUCACCACUGACAAAGAGAUCGUUCAGCUGGUUGCCAAUGUGGACUCAGUCAUUGCCACUUUCCACUGGUUUGAAGCCAUUGCAACUGUAAGUGGCGGAGUGCUGAGAGGAGCGGGAAAGCAGAAGAUUGGCGCCAUCGGCAACUUGGUGGGCUUCUAUUCCAUCGGCUUUCCCCUUGGGAUCACACUGAUGUUUGCUGCACAUCUUGGAGUCAUGGGUCUUUGGUCUGGGUUCUUCGUCUGUGUGGUGGUGCAAGCUGCUUUCUUCUUGGUUGUGAUCUACAAAAUGAACUGGAGGAAGGCCUCUGACCAGGCAAUGAUCAACGCUGGUAUGAGGCUCAAUGUGGACCCUACUUACAGCUCCAGUAACAGCCAGGCAAAUGAUAUUCCAACAGGUACCAUGAAUUUAGUCACUUACCCUUUGAAAAGUGAUUGCCUGAGCCCAUCAAGAUUAGUUUUAUUUGUCACCUGAAAUUGAAACGUUGAAACAUACAGUGAAAUGCGUCGAUUUGCAUCAGCAUGGUCAAAGGAUUGUGCUGGGGGGGCAGCCCACAAGUGUCGCCAAGCUUAGACACCAGCGUAGGUUGCCGACAACUCACUAACCCCAACCUUUCUUCCAAACGUUCCUCCAACAAGUGUUUCUUCCAAACGUUCUUUGGAAUGAGGGUGGAAACCCACGCAGUCACGGAGAGAACGUACAAACUGCUUACAGACAGUGACGGGAAUUGAACUGAGAUCAUUGGCACUUUAAUAGUGUUAUGCUAACCACUAGACUACCGUGCCACCUCUAGCAUUUUUCUGGUAAAAGGCAAUGCGAAAAAAUAGCAGUAUUGUUAUAUCUCUUAUUCAACAAAUAGGAGUGGAAUGCCAUUCAGCCCAUCAGCUCUGUACCUGUCUAAUCUGCAUCUUUACUUCUGUAUCAGCUGUCCAUAGCCUUUGAAUUGAUUAUCUUUCUUAAAUUUAUCUGCCUUCAAUCCAGAAGAGUGUGAAGUGAUAGAUCUUGGAAGGUUGAACUUGAAGAUCUGAGUACAGGAGUAAUGGCAGGAUUCUUAACAAUGUGAAGGAACAGAGGGACCCUGAAGUCCUCAUCCAUAGACCCCUCAAAGUUGCCCUGCAGUUUGAUAGGUUGGUUAAGAAGGUAUAUGGUGUUUUCAUUAGUCAGGAAAUUGAGUUCCAGAGCAACAGGGUAAUGUUGCAUCUCUAUAAAACCCUGGUCAGACUGCACUUGGAGUAUUGUGUUCUAGGAUGGAUGUGGAAGCUCCAGAGAAGGCCCAGAGAUUUACCGGCAUGCUGCCUGGAUUACAGAGCACGUCUUCGGAGAAAAGGUUGAGCUAGCUAGGGAGCAGGAAAGGUCACUUAAUAGAGGCAUAGAUUGAGUGGACCACCAGAGACAUUUUUCCAGGGUGGAAAUGGCUAAUAUUGAAGGGGCAUUAUUUUAAGAUGAUUGGAGGUAAGAAUAGUGGUUUGUCCGAGGUAGGUUUUUUUUACACAGAGAGUGGUGGGUGCAGCAUUGAAUGUGUUGGUAAAGGCAGAUACUUUAGGGGCAUUUAAGAGACACUUCAAAAGGCAGAGGAUGAAAGGAGAAUGGAGGGUUUUGGAGGAGGGAAGGGUCGGAUUGAUUUUGGACUAGGUUAAAAAUUUGGCACUUCAUUAUGGGGUGAAGUGCCUGUGCUGUGCUCUGUGUGCUAUCACUCUGGGUAGGGAAUUGCAGAGACUCACUGCUUCCUGCAGGCAGAGGUUCCUGCACACCCUGGGCUCACCCAGCUCACCUGGAGAUACAUCGUCAUAACAAGGGAUAAAUCAUGAACCACCCUUCCCAACAGAACUAUCAGUUUUUUUUUUGGCCCUCUUUUAUGGAUCAAGCUUUCCUUUUAUGGAAAACAAAAGGUAUAACAUGUUUUCAUGAUUUGUUUUUGGAUGAUAGCUUUGUCCUUUGGACAGCUAUCUAAUAAAUAUAAUUUACCUAAAACCCAUUUUUUUUUAGAUAUUUGCAAGUUAGAAAUCUUUUGUUUAAUGAGUUAGUCUUUUCCAAAACUAUGUCCAUUGGACAUUACGGAAAGAAUUUUAGCUCUGAAUCCUUGUCAAAAGGGUUUAGUAGCUGUUAUUUAUAAUAUGAUCAUGAAAAUACAGCCAGAAGUAUCAGAAAAAAUUAAGAAGGAAUGGGAAGAAGAACUUCAUUGUCUUAUAUCCACUGAGCAGUGGGAGAAAAUUUUACUAUUAGUCAAUUCGUCCUUUAUUUGUGUUAAACAUGCCCUAAUACAAUUUAAGGUUGUACAUAGAGCUCAUAUGUCUAAGGAUAAACUGGCUCGAUUUUAUUCUCAUGUUAAUCCAACCUGUGACAGAUGUCAUUCUGAUGUUGCCUCAUUGACCCAUAUGUUUUGGUCUUGUCCUUGUUUACAAAAUUACUGGAAAGAUAUUUUCAGUAUUAUUUCAAGAGUUCUGGAUAUCAAUUUCCAACCGCCUCCUUUUACUGCAAUAUUUGGUUUACCAAUGGUGGAUAAUAGUCGUUUAUCCUCCUCAUCUCGACGAAUGAUUGCAUUUGUUACAUUAAUGGCUCGAAGAUCUAUUUUAUUGAAUUGGAAAGAAAUUAAUCCUCCAACUAUAUUUCAGUGGUUUUCUCAAACUAUCUCGUUUGAGCUUAGAAAAAAUUAUAAAUGUUGUUUUUGAUCCUUCAGUUGAAUUUGAAGAAACUUGGAGACCAUUUAUUCAACAUUUUCAUACGAGUUAAAGUGUCUUUUCCUAAACACUUUUAUUAUCCUUAAUUAUUUGGAUGGAGGUUCGGAGUUAUUGGCACUACUGUAUAUAUCUAACAUUAUGCAAUGGCCCAUGUUGUUUAGUGUUUUUUUUCUUUCCUUUUUGUUUUUUUUUCUUUUGUUCAUAAAUACUAUGAAUUUGGGAGCCUAUAUAUAUUGAUUAUAUAUUUGAAUGUCUACUUAAACUAUCAACUAUGUACUCUCAAACACUUUGUAUUCAUGUUUCAUUUAUGUUUGCUCAAAAAUUAAUAAAAAGAUUUAAAAAGAAAAGAACUA